CCCCCACACUGGUACUGAGACACGGACCAGACUCCUACGGGAGGCAGCAGUGAGGAAUAUUGGUCAAUGGGCGCGAGCCUGAACCAGCCAAGUCGCGUGAGAGAUGACGGCCCUACGGGUUGUAAACCUCUUUUGUCGGGGAGCAAAUUCCGCCACGCGUGGCGGAGUCGAGAGUACCCGAAGAAAAAGCAUCGGCUAACUCCGUGCCAGCAGCCGCGGUAAUACGGAGGAUGCGAGCGUUAUCCGGAUUUAUUGGGUUUAAAGGGUGCGUAGGCGGACUGUCAAGUCAGCGGUAAAAUACGGGGGCUCAACCUCCGCCCGCCGUUGAAACUGACGCUCUUGAGUGGGCGAGAAGUAUGCGGAAUGCGUGGUGUAGCGGUGAAAUGCAUAGAUAUCACGCAGAACUCCGAUUGCGAAGGCAGCAUACCGGCGCCCAACUGACGCUGAAGCACGAAAGCGUGGGUAUCGAACAGGAUUAGAUACCCUGGUAGUC
rnacentral:rRNA from 1 species